rnacentral:rRNA from 1 species
GGAUGAACGCUAGCGAUAGGCUUAACACAUGCAAGUCGAGGGGCAUCACGAGGUAGCAAUACUUUGGUGGCGACCGGCGUACGGGUGCGUAACACGUAUGCAACCUUCCUGUAAGUGUGGGAUAGCCUCCUGAAAGGGAGAUUAAUACCUCAUGAUAUGUAUUUGCUGCAUGGCAUUUACAUUAAACAUUUAUGGCUUACAGAUGGGCAUGCGUUCCAUUAGGUAGUUGGCGGGGCAACGGCCCACCAAGCCAUCGAUGGAUAGGGGUUCUGAGAGGAAGGUCCCCCACACUGGUACUGAGACACGGACCAGACUCCUACGGGAGGCAGCAGUGAGGAAUAUUGGUCAAUGGGCGAGAGCCUGAACCAGCCAAAUCGCGUGAAGGAUGAAGGUAUUAUGUAUUGUAAACUUCUUUUACAGGGGAAUAAAGUGCGGGACGUGUCCCGUUUUGUAUGUACCCUGAGAAUAAGGAUCGGCUAACUCCGUG